rnacentral:rRNA from 1 species
AGAGUUUGAUCCUGGCUCAGGACGAACGCUGGCGGCGUGCUUAACACAUGCAAGUCGAGCGGUAAGGCCCCUUCGGGGGUACACGAGCGGCGAACGGGUGAGUAACACGUGAGCAACCUACCCUCAACUUCGGGAUAAGCCUCGGAAACGGGGUCUAAUACCGGAUAUCACCGCAUUCUUCAUGGUUUGUGGUUGAAAGUUCUGGCGGUUGGGGAUGGGCUCGCGGCCUAUCAGCUUGUUGGUGGGGUAAUGGCCUACCAAGGCGUCGACGGGUAGCCGGCCUGAGAGGGCGACCGGCCACACUGGGACUGAGACACGGCCCAGACUCCUACGGGAGGCAGCAGUGGGGAAUAUUGCGCAAUGGACGAAAGUCUGACGCAGCAACGCCGCGUGAGGGAUGACGGCCUUCGGGUUGUAAACCUCUUUCAGCAGGGACGAAGCGAGAGUGACGGUACCUGCAGAAGAAGGACCGGCCAACUACGUGCCAGCAGCCGCGGUAAUACGUAGGGUCCGAGCGUUGUCCGGAAUUAUUGGGCGUAAAGGGCUCGUAGGCGGUUCGUCACGUCGGGAGUGAAAACUCGGAGCUUAACUCCGAGCCUGCUUCCGAUACGGGCAGACUAGAGGUAGGCAGGGGAGAGCGGAACUCCUGGUGUAGCGGUGGAAUGCGCAGAUAUCAGGAAGAACACCGGUGGCGAAGGCGGCUCUCUGGGCCUUACCUGACGCUGAGGAGCGAAAGCGUGGGUAGCGAACAGGAUUAGAUACCCUGGUAGUCCACGCCGUAAACGUUGGGCGCUAGGUGUGGGGGACAUUCCACGUCCUCCGUGCCGCAGCUAACGCAUUAAGCGCCCCGCCUGGGGAGUACGGCCGCAAGGCUAAAACUCAAAGGAAUUGACGG